rnacentral:rRNA from 1 species
CCUACGGGAUGCAGCAGUGAGGAAUAUUGGUCAAUGGGCGCGAGCCUGAACCAGCCAAGUCGCGUGAGGGAAGACGGUCCUAUGGAUUGUAAAACUCUUUUGUCGGGGAGAAAAAGACGCCACGCGUGGCGUUCCGAGAGUACCCGAAGAAAAAGCAUCGGCUAACUCAGUGCAAUCAGCCGCGGGAAUGCGGAGGAGGCAAGCGGUGUACGUAUUUAUUGGGUUUAAAGGGGGCCCAGGCGGAAGAUCAAGUCAGCGGUAAAAUUGAGAAGCUCAACCUCUUCGAGCCGUUGAUACGGUCGUUCUUGAGUGUGCGAGAAGUAUGCGGAAUGCGUGGUGUAGCGGUGAAAUGCAUAGAUAUCACGCAGAACUCCGAUUGCGAAGGCAGCAUACCGGCGCCCGACUGACGCUGAGGCACGAAAGCGUGGGUAUCGAACAGGAUUAGAUACCCCAGUAGUC